GCUCAGAGUCGAGCCGUCAGUCGAAUGGCUAUUUAUAGACCCAUGUUUAUAAAUAAAUUGCUUUUUUCCCAGGCGUCUAAGUAGAUCCACCAGUCUGAGCUCCUUCUGCAGAUAGGGAGCCUUUCACCAACACGCUACAGCAGACCGAACCAGGAACCUUCUCCCUCCUUGUGAGACAGACCUAAUGUUUCCCGCCGUUUAAAUUCAAAUUCAUCAGCAGCAUUCGAUCCAAUCCUGCGCUGGGUUGGCACCACAGGCGCUACACAAGACAAGUGUCGGAAGCGAAACGGCGGUGCUGACCCAACAGAGGGACAGGAAACAGCCGUCCCUCCGCUGUCUGUCUUAUAAUGGCAAAGCCCGAAGCCUCCCUAGCAAUGAACCGGCAAGGCCUCAAGUUACUCUUCGUGAGUCGGAGACAGAGCCCUACACUGACUGAGCUGUCCGGAGGGGAGGAAGGCAGAGGCGGAGGAGGACGACAAGACAGCACUGUCUGGUAGCCCUGACUGCCUGGCCUCAGAAAUGGUGUGUGAGUUUAGGUGACGCGAGUGUGCAAAUGGCGUGUGGCUUUGUGGGUUAGAACUCUGUGCCAGUCAUCAGAAGGUUAUUGAUUUGUAUCCCAAGGGCAGCAGAUGGCUGGACCCUUGAGCAAGGACCUUAACCCCAAUCACUCCAGGAACUGGCUGCCCCCCCUCUUUCACUUGUACCUCACUUUGGAUAAAAGUGUUUGCUAAAUAAAACGU